rnacentral:tRNA from 1 species
AAUGAAGUAAAACAAGGGAAGUAAAAAUGUUUGGGCUCAUAACCCGAAGGUCACAGGUUCAAAUCCUGUCCCCGCUACCA